UGAAAAAAACCAUACUUUGGAACAGGACC
rnacentral:piRNA from 1 species